ACUCAAAUGAAUAGACGGGGGCCCGCACAAGCAGUGGAGCGUGUGGUUUAAUUCGACGCAACGCGCAGAACCUUACCAGGGCUUGACAUCAUAGUGCAAAGGCUAGAAAUAGUCUCCCUGUAGCAAUACAGCGCUAUGACAGGUGUUGCAUGGUUGUCGUCAGCUCGUGUCGUGAGAUGUUGGGUUAAGUCCCGCAACGAGCGCAACCCCUAUCCAGUGUUGCCAACAGUUCGGCUGGGGACUCACUGGAGACUGCCGGAGACGAUCCGGAGGAAGGUGGGGAUGAGGUCAAAUCAUCAUGGCCCUUAUGCCCUGGGCUACACACGCGCUACAAUGGCCGGUACAACGGGCAGCUAAGGAGCGAUCCGGAGCGAAUCCCAAAAAGCUGGCCUCAGUUGGAAUCGCAGGCUGCAACUCGCCUGCGUGAACACGGAAUUGCUAGUAAUCGCGAAUCAGCUACGUCGCGGUGAAUACGUUCCCGGGCCUUGUACACACCGCCCGU
rnacentral:rRNA from 1 species